rnacentral:rRNA from 1 species
CCCUUAGAUGUUCUGGGCCGCACGCGCGCUACACUGAUGCAUUCAACGAGUUUUUCCUGGUCCGAGAGGAAUGGGUAACCUUUUGAAAGUGCAUCGUGCUAGGGAUAGACUAUUGCAAUUAUUGGUCUUCAACGAGGAAUUCCUAGUAGACGUAGUUCAUCAGACUGCAUCGAUUACGUCCCUGCCCUUUGUACACACCGCCCGUCGCUCCUACCGAUUUCGAGUGGUCCGGUGAAUCUUUCGGACUGCGCGCGGCUUCGUGCCGUGUCGCGGAAAGUCAGGUAAACCUUAUCACUUAGAGGAAGGAGAAGUCGUAACA